GACGAACGCUGGCGGCGUGCUUAACACAUGCAAGUCGAACGGAAAGGCCCUGCUUGCAGGGUACUCGAGUGGCGAACGGGUGAGUAACACGUGGGUGAUCUGCCCUGCACUUCGGGAUAAGCCUGGGAAACUGGGUCUAAUACCGGAUAUGACCUUCCAUGUAGUGUGGGGGGUGGAAAGAUUUAUCGGUGUGGGAUGAGCCCGCGGCCUAUCAGCUUGUUGGUGGGGUAAUGGCCUACCAAGGCGUCGACGGGUAGCCGGCCUGAGAGGGUGGACGGCCACAUUGGGACUGAGGUACGGCCCAGACUCCUAAGGGAGGCAGCAGUGGGGAAUAGUGCACAAUGGGCGGAAGCCUGAUGCAGCGACGCCGCGUGGGGGAUGACGGCCUUCGGGUGGUAAACCUCUUUCGACAGGGACGAAGCUUCGGUGACGGUACCUGUAUAAGAAGCACCGGCUAACUACGUG
rnacentral:rRNA from 1 species